rnacentral:rRNA from 1 species
AUUGAACGCUGGCGGCAGGCCUAAUACAUGCAAGUCGAGCGAGCGGCGGACGGGUGAGUAAUGUCUGGGAAACUGCCUGAUGGCGGGGGAUAACAACUGGAAACGGUAGCUAAUACCGCACACCAUCAGAUGUGCCCAGAUGGGAUUAGCUAGUAGGUGGGGUAACGGCUUACCUAGGCGACGAUCCCUAGCUGGUGUGAGAGGAUGACCAGCCACACUGGAACUGAGACACGGCCCAGACUCCUACGGUAGGCAGCAGUGGGGAAUAUUCAACAAUGGGCGCAAGCCUGAUGCAGCAAGGCCGCGUGUGUGAAGAAGGCCUUCGGAUUGUAAAGCACUUUCAGCGGUGAGGCGUUAACCACCGAAGAAGCACCGGCUAACUCCGUGCCAGCAGCCGCGGUAAUUC